rnacentral:rRNA from 1 species
UAGGGAAUCUUCCACAAUGGGGGCAACCCUGACCGAGCAACGCCGCGUGAGUGAAGAAGGUUUUCGGAUCGUAAAGCUCUGUUGUAAGAGAAGAACGUGUGUGAGAGUGGAAAGUUCACACAGUGACGGUAACUUACCAGAAAGGGACGGCUAACUACGUGCAG